CCUUGAAGAGCGUUAUGUCAAACGAAAGUAGUCUAGUCUAUAGAUGUAAAUUUAUGGAUAACAAAAUCGGACGCUAUGAAUAAGGAA
rnacentral:sRNA from 12 species